rnacentral:rRNA from 1 species
UACGUAGGUGGCAAGCGUUGUCCGGAAUUAUUGGGCGUAAAGCGCGCGCAGGCGGUCCUUUAAGUCUGAUGUGAAAGCCCACGGCUCAACCGUGGAGGGUCAUUGGAAACUGGAGGACUUUGAGUGCAGAAAGAGAAGAGUGGAAUUCCACGUGUAGCGGUGAAAUGCGUAGAGAUGUGGAGGAACACCAGUGGCGAAGGCGACUCUUUGGUCUGUAACUGACGCUGAGGCGCGAAAAGCGUGGGGGAGCAAACAGG